ACAGCAAUGAAAGGGCUUUGUCUGAUUUGUUACAAAUGAGGAGUUGUUGUUAUUGAAAGGAUUGACAGGGACACCUAUGAGCUACAUAGCAAACAAGCCCCCAAUAGAUUAAGCAGUAGGUCAGGAGAAGUACUCUCUUGGAAGUGGCUUGAGUUACCAGCUCCUACUAUUGGACA